AUAGAUCACUUUUAAGCAAAAUGUAGUAGAGACAGAUCAGAUAAGCAGUAUCCAGAAGAAGAUUAAACAAAGGAGGCAGUCUUUCAUCAAGUUUUUAAGCAGCACCAGGGAGAGCUCCCAGCAAAUGGCAGUCUCCACUUGCAGGAAACUGAUGAUGUGUUCUUUUACCACUGGCUAGGAAAUUUUUAGAUGGACCUGAUACCCAAGUUCUCCAUGGUGUGCAGUCUCCCUUGCUGCAAUGAACAAUAAACUCAGCCUGUUUGACUCCAGGGGAGAUUAUCCUGAGCCACCUGACAUCAUCAAGCAAAAGCCUUUAAAAGAGGGAAUGGGCUCUUUCUGAAGAGAGAGAUUCUUCUACUGGCCUUGAAGAAGCUAACAGCCAUAUUGUGAACUGUGGAGAUGGCCAUAUGGAAAACUCCUGAACUAGAUGCUGAGAGUGGUCCCUGACCCAACAGAUGGCAUGAAGAUGGGGACAUGAGCCCUAUAACUACAAUGAAAUAAACUAUGCCAAUAUCCUGAA